AUUCUACUCCCUCUGUUGCACAAUACAUGCCUUCUAUUUGUCAAAAUAUAUAUGUAUCUAGACAUGUUUUAGUAUAUAGGUACAUCCAUUUUUGGACAAAUGGAAGUCAAGUAUUUUGGAACGGAGGGAGUACAGA
rnacentral:pre_miRNA from 1 species